AGUGAACGCUGGCGGUAGGCCUAACACAUGCAAGUCGAACGGCAGCACAGUAAGAGCUUGCUCUUACGGGUGGCGAGUGGCGGACGGGUGAGGAAUACAUCGGAAUCUACUUUUUCGUGGGGGAUAACGUAGGGAAACUUACGCUAAUACCGCAUACGACCUACGGGUGAAAGCAGGGGAUCUUCGGACCUUGCGCGAUUGAAUGGGCCGAUGUCGGAUUAGCUAGUUGGCGGGGUAAAGGCCCACCAAGGCGACGAUCCGUAGCUGGUCUGAGAGGAUGAUCAGCCACACUGGAACUGAGACACGGUCCAGACUCCUACGGGAGGCAGCAGUGGGGAAUAUUGGACAAUGGGCGCAAGCCUGAUCCAGCCAUACCGCGUGGGUGAAGAAGGCCUUCGGGUUGUAAGCCCUUUUGUUGGGAAAGAAAAGCAGCAGGUUAAUACCCCGCUGUUCUGACGGUACCCAAAGAAUAAGCACCGGCUAACUUCGUG
rnacentral:rRNA from 1 species